GAGAGAGGGGGGGGGGGGGGCAAGGUAGAGGGUGUGGCCUUGACCAACUUCCACUUUACUUGUGUGAAAGCCAUGAUAUCUAUCUCUCAUGGGUGGGCCAAAUUCUCUGGGUGGGCAAAGCAGAGACAG